UUAGGUUGUCAGCCUACUUGAAUAUAAUUGGCUGCAUAGCAGUAGUGAGUACGCAUGAGUGAUUGCGGUGAGUGAGUGCGUGUAAGUGUGUAAAGGACACUAUAAGAGGACUUCAAAAGUCAUCUACUUAAAAAAGAAAGAAUAUAUAUCUAUAAAAUAUAAAACUUAAAUUGGUUUUGUCACAUUUAUGUGAUGUAUGCCAUAUGACUAUUAUAAAUUAAAGGAUAUCUGUUCUAACGACUAUGAAAUUAGUUAAUUGCAACGAGUGAAAAAAAUAUUAAUCGAGAAUAGAAGAGCAUGACAAAGUAUUGUGCAAUAUACAGCAAGUACAACAUAUUGAUGCAAUCUGGUUAUCAAAAGCUGGCAUUAGAUAUAAUGCUAAGAAUUAUGCUUGAAAAAGCUACUUUGAAGAGCGAUGCAGAGCGGAUGCAAAGUCGAUGUAAAUUUAUAGAAGACAAACAAUUAGCACCUUCACACAUUAAAGCGAUGAGUAAAUUGUAAGAUAGACUUAUUUUAUUCAAGUACAUUUUAGAUGAAUUUUGCGAUAAAAGAAAAACGGCUCUCUUAUGGUCUUUUAUAGACAUAUUAACAUUAAGUGAACCCAUUGGUGGAACACCAAAUUCUAUAGAAAUGCAUGCUUGUGACCAUAAAAGAUAUGUUGACGAUAUGCUUAUUUGGUUGCAUCAAGCAAUUUCUAUUGAAAAGGAAAACAUAUUAAUUUCAAUUAAGGAUUCCAAUAAAACUGAUCAGAAAUUUACUAAUGAUAAUAAUAGUUUUAAUAAGUUGCUAUAUACAAUUAAUAGGAAUAUUUAUUCUGGAUAUACCUGAUCAAAUUAAGCACUGUUACAGUCAAGACAAGUUUUCGGAGUAGAUUACAAAGAGAAAUUAAAACAGAGAGAACUUUUGGAGAAUGAGCUGAACCUUCAGAAAAUGAUUUAAUAUCGGUACCAUCUGUUUCGAGAUUAUUAUACCUCUUGAAUGAAAUUCUCUCCAUGGCUAACAUAGCCGAAGAUAGAGUAAAAUAUAUGUUUCAAUGUAUUAUCAAUGUGUUAUUAAAAGAAGUUAUUGAAACAGCUUCGAGAUUACCUACGGUUGAUAUGACUGCGUAUUUUCUUAAUUGUAUGCAUCAAAUACAAUCGACAUUAGGAUUAUAUGACUAUAUGGAUCAAAGAUUAGAAAGAUUACAGGCUCAGUUAGAUACUCAAAUUGAUACACUUAUAUUGGAAUAAACUAGCUCUGAAUUCGUAAACAUAAAUCUCGGAUCAAUUUAUACUAUUUUACAAAGGACGUAAACAGGGUCUUCUAUUUAAUAUUCUUGAAAUCAAUCUAUUAAGCGUUAUAGAGUUCAAAUAAAUCAUAUCUUUUGAAAUAUUAAUCAAUAUAAUUUUAUUAAUUUUUUUCGUUAUACUAAUUAAUAUAAUUUAUUAUUCUAACAUAUUAACAUAUUUGAGUAAUUUCAUUUAAAAUAAGUUAGAAACAUUUUUAAUAAUAUGCCAAAUGUAUUAUUAUUACGGCAAAUAAAUUUAUUACAAAAUUA